ACGCUCGACACCUACGGGAGGCGCAGUGGGGAAUAUUGCACAAUGGGGGAAACCCUGAUGCAGCAACGCCGCGUGAAGGAAGACGGUUUUCGGAUUGUAAACUUCUGUUCUUAGUGAAGAUAGUGACGGUAGCUAAGGAGCAAGCCACGGCUAACUACGUGCUAGCAGCCGCGGUAAUCUGAGCGGGCUGGCAAGGC
rnacentral:rRNA from 1 species